UACGAGAGGCCCAAACGUUAUUCGGAUUUACUGGGCUUAAAGAGUUCGUAGGCGGCGCGGAAAGUAGGGUGUGAAAGCCCUCGGCUCAACCGAGGAAUUGCGCUCUAAACUGCCGCGCUCGAGGAACCUAGAGGUGAGCAGAACUGAUGGUGGAGCGGUGAAAUGCGUUGAUAUCCGGAGGAACACCAGUGGCGAAAGCGGCCACCUGGACUGCACCUGACGCUGACACGCGAAAGCUAGGGGAGCGAACGGG
rnacentral:rRNA from 1 species